rnacentral:rRNA from 1 species
GACGAACGCUGGCGGCGUGCUUAACACAUGCAAGUCGAACGAUGAAGCUGGAGCUUGCUCUGGCGGCUUAGUGGCGAACGGGCGAGUAACACGUGAGAAAUCUGCCCUUGACUCUGGGAUAACUGCGGGAAACUGUAGCUAAUACCGGAGACUUUCCCUGGUGGGCAUCCACUGGGGAAGAAAGAAGAUCGGUCAAGGAUAAUCACGCGGCCCAUCAGCUUGGUGGUGAGGUAAUGGCUCACCAAGGCGACGACGGGUAGCCCGCCUGAGAGGGUGACCGGCCACACUGGGACUGAGACACGGCCCAGACUCCUACGGGAGGCAGCAGAGGGGAAUAUUGCACAAUGGGCGCAAGCCUGAUGCAGCAACGCCGCGUGAGGGAUGAAGGCCUUCGGGUUGUAAACCUCUUUUAGCAGGGAAGAAGCGAAAGUGACGGUACCCGCAGAAAAAGCACCGGCUAACUACGUGCCAGCCGCCGCCGUAA